GAUGAACGCUGGCGGCGUGCUUAACACAUGCAAGUCGAACGGAAAGGCCCAAGCUUGCUUGGGUACUCGAGUGGCGAACGGGUGAGUAACACGUGGGUGAUCUGCCCUGCACUUCGGGAUAAGCCUGGGAAACUGGGUCUAAUACCGGAUAGGACCACAUUUUGGAUGGUGUGGUGGAAAGUUUUUCGGUGUGGGAUGAGCUCGCGGCCUAUCAGCUUGUUGGUGGGGUAAUGGCCUACCAAGGCGUCGACGGGUAGCCGGCCUGAGAGGGUGUACGGCCACAUUGGGACUGAGUAACGGCCCAGACUCCUACGGGAGGCAGCAGUGGGGAAUAUUGCACAAUGGGAGCGAGCCUGAUGCAGCGGCGCCGCGUGGGGGAGGACGGCCUUCGGGUUGUAAACUCCUUUCGCUAGGGACGAAGCGUUAUGUGACGGUACCUGGAGAAGAAGCACCGGCUAACUACGUG
rnacentral:rRNA from 1 species